UGCGUAGGCGGUUUGUUGAGUUCGAUGUGAAAGCCCCGGGCUCAACCUGGGAAUGGCAUCGAAGACUGGCAGACUGGAGUGCGGUAGAGGAUGGUGGAAUUCCCGGUGUAGCGGUGAAAUGCGUAGAGAUCGGGAGGAACACCAGUGGCGAAGGCGGCCAUCUGGACCAGCACUGACGCUGAGGCACGAAAGCGUGGGGAGCAAACA
rnacentral:rRNA from 1 species